rnacentral:rRNA from 1 species
ACUCAAAGGAAUUGACGGGGACCCGCACAAGCGGUGGAGCAUGUGGUUUAAUUCGACGCAACGCGAAGAACCUUACCUGGGCUAGAAUGCCUCUGACAACCCUGGAGACAGGGCCUCUUUGGGAAACCAAAGCAGAGUGCAAGGUGCUGCAUGGCUGUCGUCAGCUCGUGUCGUGAGAUGUUGGGUUAAGUCCCGCAACGAGCGCAACCCUUGUCGGUAGUUACUAACGGAUUAUGCCGAGGACUCUACCGAGACUGCCGUUGAUAAAACGGAGGAAGGUGGGGAUGACGUCAAGUCCUCAUGGCCUUUAUGUCCAGGGCUACACACGUGCUACAAUGGCAGGCACAAAACGCUGCGAACCCGCGAGGGGGAGCCAAUCGUCAAAAGCCUGUCUCAGUUCGGAUCGCAGUCUGCAACUCGACUGCGUGAAGCUGGAAUCGCUAGUAAUCGCGGAUCAGCACGCCGCGGUGAAUACGUUCCCGGGUCUUGCACACACCGCCCGU